AAGAAUAAGCACUAAGCAAUUCUAGAAAAAUGGCACAUUUUUCUUCCAAAUUAAUAUAAGUGGUAAAGUGAUAUGCAAAUUUAAUAGGACAAACAAAUCACAUAUUAUUGAUGCUGGUAUGUUCAAUAAAUAUAAGCACAAACAGACACAUAUUUACCAGUACUGCCAGUUCAAUACAAGAUUGCGUGCCUCUUAGAGCAGAGUUAAGGCUACCUCUGAUGCAUAUUCCCCCAGCAGCAUUGUCACCUCUAUCACUAUGCAAGAAUGAAGUCACUUCAGGAUCUCCAAUACUGUGCAGCCAAGGGGGUGACUAGAGUUGGAUUCCUAUACAGCUAAAAGAAUAUAUGGAGCAAACACACAUAUAUGCAGACAAUACAUGUACUUUUGACAUGGAGGUGAAAAACAAACAAAUUCCAUAUUGAUGGGAAUGAGGGAACAAUCCAAGAAAAGAUAGACUCGUCAAUGCAACAGAGAAGAAUAAAAUAUUCCACCGUAAAAUAUGCACAAUCAUAACCUAACUGGAAAGUAAUGGCUCACAUAUUUUCAAGCUUUAAAAUGGUAAUAAGCAUACAGAAGAAUCAAAAUUAAACUGAAUGAUCUAGUCUGGACUAACCAAUCCUUGGUUCUUACAUAUAAAAUAACCUAGCCAAUCUUCUUUUUUAUUUUUUCUUUUGCCUAUUAAUCAGACUCCAAAUGGGUUCGAACUUGCAACAUCAGCCACUCUUCCAUUUUACACAAGCCAAAUGGUAAAAACUUAAAAAGGAAUCCAACCAGUCAUGUCAAAGGAUAUUUGAAACUCCUCUAAUAUGGUAAGCCAACAAAUGAGGAUAGGAAUUUAUCUUACAUUUUGGCCUGUAUAUUACAUGAGUCUAACGCAGCACAUGGUUUAUUAGUGGUAGACAUAAUUGCUUCCUUUGCUAAAGCAGUAAACAUCAUAUUCGUAAUCUGCUUCAGCAAGUGAUGUCUAAUUUCUAGAAUCUUUUUGUGGCACAUCUUUGUCCAAUACUCCAUGACUUGAUUGACAGAGAUUAAAGUGGAAUAAUUCAAAGAUAUUCCUUCAAAUAAUUUGGGCAAGUCUAACUCAUUCCUAGUUAAAUGCUGUAUCUACCGAUGUACUAUUUCUCUGCUGAUAUGACUCAACCCAAUCAGUAAACAUGCUUUUUCCGCAUAGAAGUUAGAAAAGCGUAUUUCCUAAAAAUAACAGCACAUUAAAAUGGAGAAGAUAACAGUUAGAAUUAGUUUCAAGCUCAGUUAGUCAUGCCUCAAUUCAGUAAUAUUUACUGUUAAACACGAAAAUAUAAGAGAAUGAGAACAGUUAUUAUAGUUAGUUUAAAGUAAAUGCAGAGUGAACUCAUUAUUCAAUACAGAAUCAGUACUCAAUUAUCAGAAUUUUAAGGAAUUAUUAAUUCUAAGUGAAAAUUGGCAAACACACAAUCGAAUGGUUUUGAAAAAAUUACAUUUGUAGAACGCCAAUAAUUUCUCAAACUAUGCUGCUGCAGAGGAAUCUUACAAAUAAUUGAGAUUGCAAUUAUUAUCAUAAGAUUAUAAACUCAUCCAACAAACAAUAAUAAAAUAAUAAUAGAACACAACAAAAAAAUCAUUAGAGAGGACAGUGCUCGAUUAAUAAAUAAAAGGUUUAGCUACUCUUUUAACUAACAAAAUUGCUCUUUUUUUUUCCAUAAUUUUCUAACAUAUUUUGCAUUGCAACUGACACUAUAAAUUACCCAGAUGACAAUACUGGUUUUUGAGCAAAACCCACGAUCACAAACUUAAGAAAAAAAAAACAAAGAGAAAGAAGGGAGUGUUCUCAUUUACUAAAUGGAAAGUAUGAAACUUUUAUCCUUUGAAAAGAAAACCUUGUAAAAUAUUUCCGCUACUGAGAUGGUGAAUCGCCGAGACUCCUGGAUCAGAUUCCAGCCAAUGCGUUGCAGCUUUCGAACUUGUCGACAGCAGCCGUUAGCGGUAACAUGAAGUUGAAACCGUCGACAUGUCUUGAAAGGGUUGACGGCUUUUUUUU
rnacentral:lncRNA from 1 species